rnacentral:rRNA from 1 species
GACGAACGCUGGCGGCGCGCCUAACACAUGCAAGUCGAACGGAAUCAAGAGGAGCUUGCUUUUCUCGAUUUAGUGGCGAACGGGUGAGUAACGCGUGAGUAACCUGCCCUGGAGUGGGGGACAACAGUUGGAAACGACUGCUAAUACCGCAUAAGCCCACGGUACCGCAUGGCACUGAGGGAAAAGGAUUUAUUCGCUCUAGGAUGGACUCGCGUCCAAUUAGCUAGUUGGUGAGGUAACGGCCCACCAAGGCGACGAUUGGUAGCCGGACUGAGAGGUUGAACGGCCACAUUGGGACUGAGACACGGCCCAGACUCCUACGGGAGGCAGCAGUGGGGGAUAUUGCACAAUGGGGGAAACCCUGAUGCAGCGACGCCGCGUGGAGGGAGAAGGUUUUCGGAUUGUAAACUCCUGUCGUUAGGGACGAUAAUGACGGUACCUAACAAGAAAGCACCGGCUAACUACGUGCCAGCAGCCGCGGUAAAACGUAGGGUGCAAGCGUUGUCCGGAAUUACUGGGUGUAAAGGGAGCGCAGGCGGACCGGCAAGUUGGAAGUGAAAUCCAUGGGCUCAACCCGUGAAUUGCUUUCAAAACUGCUGGCCUUGAGUAGUGCAGAGGUAGGUGGAAUUCCCGGUGUAGCGGUGGAAUGCGUAGAUAUCGGGAGGAACACCAGUGGCGAAGGCGACCUACUGGGCACCAACUGACGCUGAGGCUCGAAAGCAUGGGUAGCAAACAGGAUUAGAUACCCUGGUAGUCCAUGCCGUAAACGAUGGAUUAUUAGGGGUGGAAGGAAUGGCCCCUUCAGUGCCGCAAUUAACACAAUAAGUAAUCCACCUGGGGAGUACGACCGCAAGGUUGAAACUCAAAGGAAUUGACGGGGGCCCGCACAAGCAGUGGAGUAUGUGGUUUAAUUCGAAGCAACGCGAAGAACCUUACCAGGUCUUGACAUCCGAUGCAUAGUGCAGAGAUGCAUGAAGUCCUUCGGGACAUCGAGACAGGUGGUGCAUGGUUGUCGUCAGCUCGUGUCGUGAGAUGUUGGGUUAAGUCCCGCAACGAGCGCAACCCUUAUUGCCAGUUACUACGCAAGAGGACUCUGGCGAGACUGCCGUUGACAAAACGGAGGAAGGUGGGGAUGACGUCAAAUCAUCAUGCCCUUUAUGACGUGGGCUACACACGUACUACAAUGGCGUUUAACAAAGAGAAGCAAGACCGCGAGGUGGAGCAAAACUCAGAAACAACGUCUCAGUUCAGAUUGCAGGCUGCAACUCGCCUGCAUGAAGUCGGAAUUGCUAGUAAUCGCGGAUCAGCAUGCCGCGGUGAAUACGUUCCCGGGCCUUGUACA